rfam:Meleagris gallopavo isolate NT-WF06-2002-E0010 breed Aviagen turkey brand Nicholas breeding stock chromosome 1, whole genome shotgun sequence.
CCAAAGGCUCUUUUCAGAGCCGCCCACUUGGUUCCAACAAAGAGCUGU